GAUGAACGCUGGCGGCGUGCCUAAUACAUGCAAGUCGAGCGAACGGACGAGAAGCUUGCUUCUCUGAUGUUAGCGGCGGACGGGUGAGUAACACGUGGAUAACCUACCUAUAAGACUGGGAUAACUUCGGGAAACCGUAGCUAAUACCGGAUAAUAUUUUGAACCGCAUGGUUCAAAAGUGAAAGACGGUCUUGCUGUCACUUAUAGAUGGAUCCGCGCUGCAUUAGCUAGUUGGUAAGGUAACGGCUUACCAAGGCAACGAUGCAUAGCCGACCUGAGAGGGGGAGCGGUCACGCUGGAGCGUGGACACGGUCCAGACUCCUACGGGAGGCAGCAGUAGGGAAUCGUCCGCAAUGGGCGAAAGCCUGCCGGAGCAGCGCCGGGUGAGUGAUGAAGGUCUUCGGAUCGUAAAACUCUGUGAUUAGGGAAGAACAUAUGUGUAAGUAACUGUGCACAUCUUGACGGUACCUGAUCAGGAAGCCACGGCUAACUACGUG
rnacentral:rRNA from 1 species